rnacentral:rRNA from 1 species
GGCUUGUUGAUUAUAAUUUCAAGUYUGGCCUGCCCAUUGAGGAUUUAAAUGGCCGCGGUAUUUUGACCGUGCAAAGGUAGCAUAAUCAUUAGUUUUUUAAUUGGAAGCUUGUAUGAAAGGUUUAAUGAAAAAGGAGCUGUCUCUAUAAAAAUUUAGUAGAAUUUUAUUUUUAAGUAAAAAAGCUUAGAUUUAUAUGGAAGACGAGAAGACCCUGUAGAGUUUUAUGUUUUAGUGAGAAAUGUAUCAGAGGAUUAGAUGGUAUGUUUUUAUUAAGAUGUUUUGUUGGGGUGAUAGAAAAAUUUAUUAAACUUUUUUUUUAUAUGUACAUUGAUAUGUGAGUUUUGGAUCCUAGGUUUUAGAUUGUAAGAUAAAAUUACCUCAGGGAUAACAGCGUAAUUUUUUUUAGAGUUCUUAUCGAAAGAAAAGUUUGCGACCUCGAUGUUGGAUUAAAAUAAAUUGUUGGCGAAGAAGUUAAUAAAUUAGGUCUGUUCGACCUUUGAAAUUUUACAUGAUCUGAGUUUARACCGGUGUAAG